AUUCUUUUCCUGUUCACAAACAUGAUGACUGGGUCCUCAAGUGCUUGUAUGGCAUGCAACUCCCUCAAACCUUGUUAUGUCAUAUUCCUAAUUUUAUA
rnacentral:snoRNA from 1 species